rnacentral:misc_RNA from 1 species
AAGGGAGCUGACCUGAAAGCAAUGGUGCAAAUUCUCAUCCAUUUUACACAAUUUCCUUGAAGUUCAGAUUAUAUGUUUUCUACCUAAUAUUUGAGGUUUGGUCAUGUAAAGUUUUGACAUACGGAUGCUCCAUUUAGACAAGUAAAGCACAUUAUGUUAUGUUAGAUGUAGAGGAUAUAAAGAAAAAAAGGGUAUAACUAAAUUGACUUGGAGGAGAGUAG